rnacentral:pre_miRNA from 1 species
AGUAGAAUAGCUGGGUCAAAUGGUGAUUCCAUUCCAAGUUUCCAAGAAAUCUCCAUACUGCUUUCCAUAUUGGUUGUACCAAUUUGCAGUACCACCAGCAGU